GUCUAGGGCCAUACCUGAACAUGCCAGAUCUCGUCUGAUCUCAGAAGCUAAGCAGGCUUAGGCCUGGUUAGUACUUGGAUGGGAGAAAAUAAAAAGUCCAUUGAUGUAAACUGGGAGUUCACA
ensembl:rRNA 5S_rRNA 5S ribosomal RNA